ACACCCUAUGUUCUAUUGCAAAUCCUUUGUAACAUUGUUGGCUCUGUGACACAUUGCAUGUUCUAGUCUAGAAGAUCAUCAUGCUGAAGUCCGGCUGCACCCCCUGUCCAAGACAAUCUCCACGGCUAUGAACUCGAUUAGACAAGAUCUUGAUGACAUCCACACUCAGUACAUGAUGAAGCUCCUGCGUCCAUUUGGGCUGAAGGUCGAGACAGAACCAACCCAAAGCUGGACUGUAACCUACUGUCAUAUGACAGACUUCAUACUGACAACUACUGGCGUGGAUGCGGCAUCACAUGUUUUUCAACAAAACCUUUUUCACCUAGAAUUUAAAGUGUGGAUUAGUCAUCCCCCAUCCCUCCAUGUCUUCAUCUCUUGUGAGUGGAUAUCAUUUAAAACAUUCUUAAAAGAACUCCUCAAUUUCUUCUGAAUUUAUAGUAUUUAUUGUUCUUGUCAAGUAAUAUUGCUGUAAUGCUGUUAAUGAAUGUACAGUAUAAAUUGCAAUCACGCUUGUGUUGGACAGGUGUGGUUCACAGGUUAUAGACAUUUUAGAGGAGGUAGAUGCUGUGUAUUUAAAGGUGUUCUAAGUCAUGUUUAUUUGUACUAUCUUAUUUUUGUAUAUAAAUCAUUAUUACAGUGGAACAAAUUGCUAUUUUUUUAUUUGUAAAUUAGAAACUGAUUUUUUUUUUACCAUUGUACAGCACCACUUUAUCACCAAUAAUGUUUUAUAACUUUGUAGUCAAAUUAUUGUUUUAUGUCACAUGUGAGAACAAAUGCAAGUUUAUAUUUUCUUUCAGAUGUAAUUUUUGUAAUAAAGUC